rnacentral:rRNA from 1 species
UACGGGGGGGGCAAGCGUUGUUCGGAAUUACUGGGCGUAAAGCGUGCGCAGGCGGUUCGUUAAGUCCGAUGUGAAAGCCCCAAGCUUAACUUGGGAAUGGCAUUGGAAACUGGCGGGCUGGAGUGUGGCAGAGGGGGGUGGAAUUCCACGUGUAGCAGUGAAAUGCGUAGAGAUGUGGAGGAACACCGAUGGCGAAGGCAGCCCCCUGGGCCAACACUGACGCUCAGGCACGAAAGCGUGGGGAGCAAACAGG